CCGCUCGCGUUCGCGCAGCGAUUUUUCGAGAAUAUUAUUGAUCGCGGUGCAACGAGCUCGCGCUGUCGCUCGCGCGAUAUCGCCAGGAUCAGUAACCGGAUACUGCCGAUAAAUAAAAUGAACGAUGACGUAGAUCGUCAAUUUCAAUGAGGACUUCUCGGCGAUGAGUCGAUGACGAUACCACGGAGACGUGUCGCGAUCGACGAAUUCUAGAAACAUGGAAUUUGUUACGAAAUAUUAACGGCGCGAAAUUUGGAUGAGAUUUGAUGGAAAAUCUCACAAGUGUUUAUCUUAGAAUUUGAAAUUUAUCAAAUUACUACGCGUUAGCAAACAAAGGUAAAUCUGUAAGAAAAUAUUGGCAACGUAUAAAAUUGUAUGGUUAUCCUGGGAGCUGAAAGAUAAACGAGAUAAGAGAUUCAAUUCAGCAGAAAUGUCCUUACAACAGAUAUAUAUGUAUAUACAUCAUUUUAAUAUAAUUUGUUUAAUAUAAUUCAUGUACAAAUACUCACACACAUCGCAAACAUACCUUACGUCACUAACACUCAGUCAGUGCUUUCUUUAUAAUUUUAUAUAUUACUAAAAAAGAUGUGGAAGAUCAAAUGUAAAUUAUAUUUAAUUCAUAAUUAUAUAGGGAAUAAAUUAUGUAUAGAGCUCUCUUAAAUUUACAAUUUCGUCGAUACCAAUGAGGAACACGAUACAACGCAUGUAUGAUUAAUGGCGUUAAAUAUAAAGAAGAAAAGAAAAACAAAGAA